rnacentral:rRNA from 1 species
UACGUAGGGUGCAAGCGUUAAUCGGAAUUACUGGGCGUAAAGCGUGCGCAGGCGGUGAUGUAAGACAGUUGUGAAAUCCCCGGGCUCAACCUGGGAACUGCAUCUGUGACUGCAUCGCUGGAGUACGGUAGAGGGGGAUGGAAUUCCGCGUGUAGCAGUGAAAUGCGUAGAUAUGCGGAGGAACACCGAUGGCGAAGGCAGCCCCCUGGGUUAACACUGACGCUCAGGCACGAAAGCGUGGGGAGCAAACAGG